rnacentral:rRNA from 1 species
GACGAACGCUGGCGGCGUGCUUAACACAUGCAAGUCGAACGGAAAGGCCCUGCUUUUGUGGGGUGCUCGAGUGGCGAACGGGUGAGUAACACGUGAGUAACCUGCCCUUGACUUUGGGAUAACUUCAGGAAACUGGGGCUAAUACCGGAUAGGAGCUCCUGCUGCAUGGUGGGGGUUGGAAAGUUUCGGCGGUUGGGGAUGGACUCGCGGCUUAUCAGCUUGUUGGUGGGGUAGUGGCUUACCAAGGCUUUGACGGGUAGCCGGCCUGAGAGGGUGACCGGCCACUUUGGGACUGAGAUACGGCCCAGACUCCUACGGGAGGCAGCAGUGGGGAAUACUGCACAAUGGGCGGAAGCCUGAUGCAGCAACGCCGCGUGCGGGAUGAUGGCCUUCGGGUUGUAAACCGCUUUCGCCUGUGACGAAGCGUGAGUGACGGUAAUGGGUAAAGAAGCACCGGCUAACUACGUG